rnacentral:rRNA from 1 species
UACGGAGGAUGCAAGCGUUAUUCGGAUUUACUGGGCUUAAAGAGUUCGUAGGCGGUUCGGUAAGUGAGGUGUGAAAGCCCUCGGCUCAACCGAGGAAUUGCGCUUCAAACUGCCGGGCUCGAGGGAGAUAGAGGUGAGCGGAACUGAUGGUGGAGCGGUGAAAUGCGUUGAUAUCAUCAGGAACACCAGAGGCGAAGGCGGCUCACUGGGUCUUUUCUGACGCUGAGGAACGAAAGCUAGGGGAGCAAACGGG